UUCUGACAUUGCUGUUCUUCAGCUUCUAGCCAGCAGCAGAAUCCUCUGGAGUGCUUGUUAACACCAGACUGCUGACCUCCAACCCCGACAUUCUUGGCUGCCCCUAUACUUGUACCUGGGAGCCCUUGUCCAUUGCUGCAUCCUGCAAGAUCCAGGACAAUGUCUGCAGUGUCCUCCAAAGCCAAGGGCCUGGCCCCAUGGUGGUCUCCUGAGUUCAUGGUAAGAAGAUGACAAAAUCACCUCUCAUAUUUAUGUCUUUACACUUAUAUUAAAUUUAUGGAGACACACA